rnacentral:rRNA from 1 species
ACCAGAAAGUAAUCAUAGUAUACCUGAGUAGUAACAGUUAUGUUCUAAAAAUUUGAAAAAUUUGGCGGUGGUUUAGUCUUGUCAGAGGAACCUGUCUUUUAAACGAUACACCACGAAAUAUCUUACUUAAGUUUGUAGAGUAUGUAUACCAUCAUUAUUAGGUAAUUUUUAUAGAAUAAAUUACUGGGACAAUAUAAUAAUGUUAAAUAUAUUAGAUCAAGGUGCAGCUUAUGCUUAAGUUAUGAUGGGUUACAAUAGUAUUUAUACUAUUACGAAUAAGCAAAUGAAAUUUUGCUUUGAAGGAGGAUUUGAUUGUAAACUUAGUUUAAUAAGCUAAUUAGAUAUAAGCUCUAAAGCAUGU